UACGUAUUGCAGUCACAGUCAGUGUUUUGUGGAGUAAAAAAGUAGAACCAUAAUUACAUACCACUGAACCAAGCAGCCUGAUCAUUACGUUUCCUGAAGAAUUAGCCGUCACCACGUGGAAUCUUUAUAAGCUAAGCUAUAAAACUUCCUAAACUUGGAGUUAAUGUGGUCUUCUUUGAUAAACUCAAUAAAAAUUAUUGUAUUAAUUGAUUUUCUUGAAUGUUAGUUGAGCGACUAAAGAAUGAAACCGGGAGUUCCCGUCGUGGCGCAGUGGUUAACGAAUCCAACUAGGAACCAUGAGGUUGCGGGUUCGGUCCCUGCCCUUGCUCAGUGGGUUAACGAUCUGGCGUUGCCGUGAGCUGUGGUGUAGGUUGCAGACGCGGCUCGGAUCCCGCGUUGCUGGGGCUCUGGCGUAGGCCGGUGGCUACAGCUCCGAUUCGACCCUUAGCCUGGGACCCUCCAUAUGCCGCGGGAGCGGCUCAAGAAAUAGCAACAACAACAACAACAACAAAAAUCUCAAAAAAAAAAAAAAAAAAAAAAAAAAAAAAAGAACGAAACCGUUCCCAGCAGUGUUCGCACCGCCUCCUGGAUAGUAGCCCUCUCAGUAUAUCCACAACGAGUGCUUGACCAGGCACACUGACAGCGUUCCUUCCAAGGAUGUAAUCGCCAGUUCAUUCUAGGGUCUUUAGUUAUGUAGAAUUAUUGGGACAUUAUAUGUAUCUCAACACCCCCCUUUUUUAAAGAUUUUUAUUUAUUUUCUUUUAGGUGUGUACAGUGAUACCUUUUAAAAAUUUUUUUAAAUUAUACUUGAUUUACAUUGUUCUCCUAUACAGCCAGAUGACCCAGUUACACAUAUGUACACAUUCUUUUUCUCACAUUAUCAUCCAUCAUGUUCUAUCCCAAGUGAUUAGAUACAACUCCCUGUGCUGUAGCGGAAUUUUUUUUUUUUUUUUUAAGAUUUUUAGAUGAAGGUUUUUAGACUAUGUCAUGUCAGUUGGGUAUUUCUCUGGGGGAACAUAGGUAGGGCCUUGGUGAUAGAUGUCUUGUAACUGCCUGAGUCAUCAGAGACCGUGAUCAUUCUUUCCUGGCAGUUGUGCCAGCAGACCGAGCCCAUGAACACUGUAGAAAAAGGUCAGUUGUACAUUUGCUCCCAUGUGUAUAUUCAUGUCAUGUUUCACAUAUUACAUAUUAAUGCUUUCUAAGAUUUUGUGCCGUUUCUUGACACUGAUGCUUUAGAGGUGGUGUGCUCCUCAGGAAGUAAUCUCUGCAGGUGUCCGUUGGUUUGUUGGGCUACACCCACGACAGGUGGAGAUGCGCAGAUCUGGGAUCGAACCCCUGAGCCACUGCAGUGACCACGCCGGAUCUUUAACCCACUGCACCACAAAAAAACUCCAUUCCAGAUAUUUUUAAAAAAUUUCAUUAGUAAAAUGUCAGAGUAAGUUGUCAAUUAAUUGUGUGGCAUGGACAUGAGGACAGCCACUUAGGGAUUCUCUGCUUGGAUGGAUUGGGAAAUGUCGCUCAGUAGAACCUGAUGUGGAAGAAGGGACCACUGGCUUUUUUGGGUUUUUUUUUUGGUUUGCUUUUUUUUUUUUGACUGCAAUGUGCAGCAGCUUGAUGUGGGAUCUCAAUUCCCAGACUACAGAUCGAACCAGGACUGCAGCAGUCAAGGCACCAGCUCUGGAGUUCCUGUCAUGGUGCAGCGGAAAUGAAUCCGACUAGGAACCAUGAGGUUGCAGGUUCGAGCCCUGGCCUCGCUCAGUGGGUUAAGGAUCUGGCACUGCCGUGAGCUGUGGUGUAAGUUGAAGACGCGGCUCGGAUCUGCUGUGGCUGUGGCUGGCUGCUACAGCUCCGAUUAGACCCCUAGGGGAACCUCCAUAUGCCAUGGGUGCGGCCCUAGAAAGGCAAAAAGCCAAAAAAAAAAAA
ensembl:lncRNA